rnacentral:rRNA from 1 species
AGCGCAGACGGUUAUUUAAGCAAGAUGUGAAAGCCCCGGGCUCAACCUGGGAACUGCAUCCAAAACUGGCAAGCUAGAGUACGGUAGAGGGUGGUGGAAUUUCCUGUGUAGCGGUGAAAUUCGUAGAUAUUAGGAGGAACACCAGUGGCGAAGGCGACUUACUGGACUGUAACUGACGCUGAGGCACGAAAGCGUGGGUAGCGAACA